rnacentral:rRNA from 1 species
AUUGAACGCUGGCGGCAGGCCUAACACAUGCAAGUCGAGCGGAUGAAGGGAGCUUGCUCCUGGAUUCAGCGGCGGACGGGUGAGUAAGGCCUAGGAAUCUGCCUGGUAGUGGGGGAUAACGUCCGGAAACGGGCGCUAAUACCGCAUACGUCCUGAGGGGGAAAGUGGGGGAUCUUCGGACCUCACGCUAUCAGAUGAGCCUAGGUCGGAUUAGCUAGUUGGUGGGGUAAAGGCCUACCAAGGCGACGAUCCGUAACUGGUCUGAGAGGAUGAUCAGUCACACUGGAACUGAGACACGGUCCAGACUCCUACGGGAGGCAGCAGUGGGGAAUAUUGGACAAUGGGCGAAGGCCUGAUCCAGCCAUGCCGCGUGUGUGAAGAAGGUCUUCGGAUUGUAAAGCACUUUAAGUUGGGAGGAAGGGUAGUAAGUUAAUACCUUGCUGUUUUGACGUUACCAACAGAAUAAGCACCGGCUAACUUCGUG